GUGCAGGGACAGAAGGGCUGGCAGAGGCUCCUGCUUGGAGCUGUUCAGAUAUGGUCCAGCCCAAGCCACACUCACUGCUCUGCUUCCACAGGUGUAAACCCUGCCUUGGCUCUUGCUCCUCACCAGAACAAGCUUCAGCGAGAUUGUUUCUCUCUCCAUCUAAUCCUAAUCUGGAAUCAGUGCAUGAUCUUUAUUGCUCAGUUACACUGCGGUUUAAAAAAUGCAGUGCUGGGUGGCACAGAAAGCAUUAAUGUGCAAUUCUGUACCAUACAUGUGAAGGCAAGUCCUUUACAGCUUAGAAACAGGCAGGGUCUGUUAUUUCCAUGCCAAGAAACCACAUGGCAAGGGCACUUGAUUUCAGAUCCCAAGAAAGCUACAUGUCAAUAGCCAAGUGGCCACUGCUCUUAAGUUUUCCUGAAUUUGGACCCUGGCGUGUGUCUGCUGAAGUCAACACAAACCUUUCACUGACUCCAUUGAAACAGGGUGAGUGCAUGGACAGGGGCCUCAUCUACACAACUGCUGCAAACUUGUG
rnacentral:lncRNA from 1 species